rnacentral:rRNA from 1 species
CAAUUUGAAUGAGAUUCAAAAACACAUCAUGGAGAGUUUGAUCCUGGCUCAGAAGGAACGCUGGCAGCGUGCAUAACACAUGCAAGUCGAACGUGAGUAUUCUUGCUUGCAAGAAUAUGAAAGUGGCGAACGGGUGAGUAACACGUAAGAAUCUACCUUUAGGACGGGGAUAACUUCUGGAAACGGAUGCUAAUACCCGAUAUGCUGUGGAGUGAAAGGAAUUUCGCCUAAAGAUGAUCUUGCGUCUGAUUAGCUAGAUAGGAUGGUAACUGCACACUAUGGCGACGAUCAGUAGCUGGUCUGAGAGGAUGGACAGCCACAUUGGCACUGAGACACGGGCCAAACUCCUACGGGAGGCAGCAGUGGGGAAUUUUCCGCAAUGGGCGAAAGCCUGACGGAGCGACGCUGCGUGAAGGAUGACGGCCUGCGGGUUGUAAACUUCUUUUCUCGAAGAAGAAUCAAUGACGGUAUUCGAGGAAUAAGCAUCGGCUAACUCUGUGCCAGCAGCCGCGGUAAGACAGAGGAUGCAAGUGUUAUUCGGAUUGAUUGGGCGUAAAGCGUCUGUAGGCGGUUUGGAAAGUCUUUUGUGAAAUUCUUCGGCUCAACCGGGGGUCCGCAAAAGAAACUUCCAUGCUUGAGGGAAGUAGAGGUACAGGGAAUUUCCGGUGGAGCGGUGAAAUGCGUAGAUAUCGGAAGGAACACCAAUAUGGCGAAGGCACUGUACUGGGCUUUACCUGACGCUAAGAGACGAAAGCUAAAGGAGUGAUUAGGAUUAGAUACCCUAGUAAUUUUAGCCGUAAACGAUGGAAACUCACUGCCGAGCCGGUAUUCGGAGCGGUGGUCAAGCUAACGCGUGAAGUUUCCCGCCUGGGGAUUACGCAUGCAAAUGUGAAACUCAAAGGAAUUGACGGGGACCCGCACAAGCGGUGGAGUAUGUGGUUUAAUUCGAUGCAACGCGAAAAACCUUACCAAGGUUUGAAAUCAUUCUAAAACUCUUUGAAAGAAGAGCCUCCUUCGGGAUAGAAUGACAGGUGGUGCAUGGCUGUCGUCAGCUCGUGUUGUGAAAUGUCAAGUUAAGUCUUGUAACGAGCGCAACCCAUGUCUUUUGUUGCUGUUUUACAGUGCUUAAAAGAGACUGCCGCUAUACAGCGGAGGAAGGUGUGGAUGAUGUCAAGUCAGCAUGCCCCUUAUAUCUUGGGCUACACACGUACUACAAUGGUAGGGACAAUGAGUCGCAAACCUGUGAAGGCUAGCCAAUCUCAAAAACCCUAUCUCAGUUCGGAUUGUACUCUGCAACUCGAGUACAUGAAGGUGGAAUCGCUAGUAAUCGCUGGUCAGCAUACAGCGGUGAAUACGUUCCCGGGUCUUGUACACACUGCCCGUCACACCAUGGAAGUCGAUCCUUCCCUAAGUCGUUACUCGAACCUUUAUGGACGAGGAUGCCGAAGGCAGGGUUGGUGACUAGGGUGAAGUCGUAACAAGGUAGCCGUACUGGAAGGUGUGGCUGGAAUACCUCCUUUUAAUGAGAUCUUGAGAGUAGAGAUGCUCUCAAAAAAGACCAAGCCGGAAG